UGUAGAGUCUGAUAUUAAAUGUUACCAGACAAACCAUGGCAAGGGUCUGGCUCUUUUCUUGCCUUCUGCUCACCAUGGCUGUGUAUGCACUGACUUUUGAAUUCAAUCGCAUUAAAGUUUUCCCUGAGGUUGGCAGAAUCUCCGGAGUGUCCAUGGUGUCUUAUGGGAAUCAAUACGCCCUGAAUGCCUCUCAGGCUAGAGCCAUGUGCCUGUUCCUGAACGUCACCAUAGCGACCAGGGAACAGGUCCAUACUGCUCACCAACAUGGACUGGAGACAUGCGGAUAUGGCUGGAUAGAUGAACAGAUUGCAGUUAUCCCUCGCAUUGUGCAGAGCAUGAAAUGUGGCAGGAAUAACAUUGGGUUAUUAACAUGGAAAACAGCGACAAACAAAGCCUUUCAUGUGUUUUGUUUCAAUUCAACAGAUUUAGAGAAUCCUUUGGAUAUCACAACACCUAAAGUCCAGACCACAACAAAAACUACGACCACUACAACAGUCUCAACAUCAGCACCAACUACUACCAAAACGGUGAAAAACAGGGUCAAGACAACACCUAAAGUUCCAGCACCUAAAUCAACGAUACAAGUCUCAAGAUUGGCCCCCACUACCACAACAACAACCACUUACCUGGUCCAGUCAACAACCAGCUUCAUCUCCACCUCUCCUCCUCCCUCCCCAUCCCCAUCUCCACCUCUCCUCCUCCCUCCCCAUCCCCAU